UGCUGAGGUGGCAGUCCCAGCACUGAGCUCACAAAUCAGAGGUUUACCUGGUUUCCUUCCUCUGCUCCUUACGGAUGAUAUCCAAAGUCUGAAUACUGGUCUCAAACUUAGUCCUGUCUCUGUGGCAAACUCUGGUACCAUGUGGGAUGAUCUCUAAGAAGGAAUACCACAACAAAGCUGUUGGAUGGGUGUAUAAGAACCAAAAUUACAGUCCAGACUGGAGCCUGCUGCAGGCUAAGACACAGCACAGAGAAAUAAAUGUUUGGAAGGAUCAAAUGAUGAGCAACUCUCAUUUACUGGAAACUAUAUAGGGAACAUCACAUUUUCUUCAAGUCCUUCUUGUCUGGGGUGGGCUAGCCACAUGUACAUUUCUUCUCGAAACCUUUGUAGAUUUGAGAACAUUACAAGCAAAAUCUCAGAAUGACAGAGAGUAUGUUAGUUCCUCAUUUGGUUUUCUCCUCAAAAGAACAGGGAGUUCUUCCUGUCUUGGGACCAUACAGCUCCUGCAAAUCCAGCCGUCUUCUGCUUCUUUGAUCCUCAGCUCAUCAGAGAUCCCAGUGCCCGCACGUUGCUAUCUCAUGGUUUGCUCCCGAUGUUUGGAUUCAAGCAUCAAGAGUGCAGGAAAUGAAUUUCAGUAGAGCUGCAGUGAAAGUAGAACAAAGAGAUUGCAACAGUGAGUAAAAACUCCCAAGAGAUUGACCAUACCCAUUUGGGCAUGAGUAUCUCUUUAGUAGGUGUCUAGGAAAGGUGCUGGUGUUUCAACAACACUGCUGUAACCUUUCCACAAGUGUGCUGGGUAAGAACAGGCACCACUGCUCUGGGAAAAAUGUGCAUCAGCAAGAUGGCAAAGGACUUGAAUCCUCACCAGACAAUCCAGGGAGACAGCACUUGGCUGAGGAUUGGCCAUGGGGGUUCUGUCCCCACCACCAGUGCAACAUUCUCUGUGGCUGUGACUGAUGUUAGGUCACAAAGGUUUGGCAGCCAGGGGUUGCUAAUUUGGUGCUUGCAUAGCUAAGUGUGGGAAAAGAAGCAUAUGACAUGGUUCCAUUUAUUAUUAAAAACCACAGAAAUGUAUUUGAUUGUUGGGGAGUUGUCCUUUGUCUUCCUGUCACUUGUUCCAUACCAUUGCUGGUUCUGCUUUUUACAGUCACAUGUUCCCCUCUAGGCUGGGGAGAGGAUUUUCAAGAUGAGUUACAGCUAUGCUGCUGACUUCAUAUUUGGUAGACUGUGCUCAUGUUUGCUCAUGUUUUGAUAUUAUGCUUCUUUUUUUCUACUGCCACAGAACUUCCUGCCACAUACGAAAAACUUCUGCAAUAAUGGCCUUGUUUGCAUGACAUGAUUUUGAGGAAAACCCUUCAUAGCACGAGGGCAAAGUGUCAGUAGUUGAACACUUGGGCACCUCUCUAAGACCUAAGAUGUCUUGCACAACAGUAAGCCAGGGCCCCCAGCAUAAGAAAGACAUAGAACUGUGGGAGCAAGUCAAGAGGAGGGCUACAGAGGUGAUCAGAGGGGUAGGGCAACUUCCCUAUGAAGAAAGGCUGAGGGAUCUGGGCUUGUUUAGCUGGAGAAGAGAAGGCUAUGGGGAGACCUCACUGUGGCCUUCCAGUUCUUUAAAGGGAGCUUAACAACAGGAGGGAGUGCGACUUUUUUACAUGGCCUGAUAAUGAGAGGACAAGGAAGAAUGGUUUUAAACUAAAAAGGGGGAAACUCAUAGAUGUUCGGAGGUGUUUUUUACUCAGAGGGUGGUUAGGCACUGGAACACGUUGCUUUGAGAAGCUGUGGGUGCCCCAUCCCUGGAGGCAUUCAAGGCCAGGUUGGACGGGGCCCGGGGCAGUCUGAUCCGGUGGGUGGCAGCCCAGACCGUGGCAGGGGGCUGGAACUAGAUGAUCUUCAAAGUUCUUUCCAUCCCAAACCAUUCUAUGAUUCUAUGAUUCUCCGAAUACAUUUCUGUCUCUGUUUAUCCUAGCAAGAGAUUUUCCCCACAGACCUUCCCUACUAGUCUCUAAUGUCUCCUCCAAGAGGAUUGCAAUUAUUCUUAAAAGCAAAAACUAAGCAAUCUUUUAUUAUUAUUAUUAUUUUACCGAGAAAGAUUGGGUCCUCAACUACCGCCUAUCACAGCAGUGGGGUAUUUCACCCAGGGAAUAGAGGAGUUGUAGUUAUGCACUUCAGCCCCAGAAGAGGUUCAAAUGCACAUCUUCCCUAGGAUAAGAGAGCCCCAGCAACAAGCAAGAAGGAAUUCCUUCAGGCAGGGCUCUGAAGGCCCUUCCUCGCCAUUGCUCCUGGCACCUCUUCCUAGAUCCCACCACCCUACACAGAAAACAAAAGGACACUGAAACCACAACCACUUUGACCACCCACGGGGGAGACAGAAGUGCUCUGAGGGAAAUUCAAGAAGGAUCUUCGACCAGGCACCGCUGAAGCUAAGAUUUGUCAAGUCAUAACUUCAACGCUCUGCAGAGCGUUUGUUGUUUAAGACCGUAUACAGGAAAUCUGAGCAGUAAAUGUUCUCCAUCUUUGAUCAAUGCGCCAGCGUGCUGCUGUGAAGUGAAACAGCGUAGGCUGGCAGAUGAGAGUUUUCCCCAGGGGCAUUCUGUAGGGAACACAACUGAG
rnacentral:lncRNA from 1 species